AGGAAAGUUAAUCUGACAAAAAGGGCUUUGAAGGAAGAAAUUACUCUGCUUGAUACCCUACAAAAUGGAGAGAACACUUGGAACAAGUGACACAUUAUUGUCUCAUUAAAUUUUCAACGUCGCAGUGCCGGAGGUGUCAUCAACCCAUGUCGUGAAAGUUCAGUCACAAGCUAAUAGGAGGAUCUCCACUUAUAGUUCUCAAUGCGUACCAUUCCGUAUGUUGGAAGCAUUCUUGUAACCUUACCUUAACUGCCUGCGGAAUGGUGUCAAUAAACGU